rnacentral:rRNA from 1 species
ACGCCGACACCUACUGGAGGCAGCAGUAGGGAAUCUUCCACAAUGGACGCAAGUCUGAUGGAGCAACGCCGCGUGAGUGAAGAAGGUUUUCGGAUCGUAAAGCUCUGUUGUUGGUGAAGAAGGAUAGAGGUAGUAACUGGCCUUUAUUUGACGGUAAUCAACCAGAAAGUCACGGCUAACUACGUGCCUGCAGCCGCGGUAAUCUGAGCGGGCUGGCAAGGC